GACGAACGCUGGCGGCGUGCUUAACACAUGCAAGUCGAACGAUGAAGCCGGAGCUUGCUCUGGUGAAUUAGUGGCGAACGGGUGAGUAACACGUGAGUAACCUGCCCUUGACUCUGGGAUAACUGCGGGAAACUGUAGCUAAUACCGGAUACGACCCUCGGAGGCAUCUCCUGGGGGUGGAAAGAAUUUCGGUCAAGGAUGAGCUCGCGGCCUAUCAGCUAGUCGGUGAGGUAAUGGCUCACCAAGGCGACGACGGGUAGCCGGCCUGAGAGGGUGACCGGCCACACUGGAACUGAGACACGGUCCAGACUCCUACGGGAGGCAGCAGUGGGGAAUAUUGCACAAUGGGCGAAAGCCUGAUGCAGCAACGCCGCGUGAGGGAUGAAGGCCUUCGGGUUGUAAACCUCUUUUAGCAGGGAAGAAGCGAAAGUGACGGUACCUGCAGAAAAAGCACCGGCUAACUACGUGCCAGCAGCCGCGGUAA
rnacentral:rRNA from 1 species